AGCGAUCCGCCGGUGGAUUUUUAGCCCUGGUGGGUAGCUUCCCGGAAACGAAAGUCUUCCGGUUCCGGGGGAAGUAUGGUUGCAAAGCUGAAACUUAAAGGAAUUGACGGAAGGGCACCACCAGGAGUGGAGCCUGCGGCUUAAUUUGACUCAACACGGGGAAACUCACCCGGCCCGGACACCGUAAGGAUUGACAGAUUGAUAGCUCUUUCAUGAUUCGGUGGUUGGUGGUGCAUGGCCGUUCUUAGUUCGUGGAUCGAUUUGUCUGGUUUAUUCCGAUAACGAGCGAGACUCUAGCCUACUAAAUAGUAACGAGAUUAUCAAUGUCUCAGUUGCUUCUUAGAGGGAUUUUCGGUGUUUAGCCGCACGAGAUUGAGCAAUAACAGGUCUGUGAUGCCCUUAGAUGUCCGGGGCUGCACGCGCGCUACACUGGCGAAAUCAGCGUGCUGUAUCCAUUCUCGAAAGGGAUUGGUAAACCCAUGAAAAUUUGCCGUGCUUGGGAUCGGAAAUUGCAAUUAUUUUCCGUGAACGAGGAAUUCCAAGUAAGUGCGAGUCAUCAACUCCCCUCUGAUUACGUC
rnacentral:rRNA from 1 species